rnacentral:miRNA from 10 species
UGUCUGCAUGUGUGCAUGUAUGCAUGCACAUGUUUGUAUGUGUAUGUGCAUGUGCAUGCUUGUG